rfam:Bifidobacterium actinocoloniiforme DSM 22766 Contig1, whole genome shotgun sequence.
GGGGCUGAUCGGUUUCGACGGUGACCUGUUCGUCGCAGGGAAGCGUGCCGAGAACGCGGGGGUCCACUCGUUAAUGCCCUCCCGCAACAAUCAAGUGCUAAAUCUAACCGCACUGAGUUCGCUCUCGCUGCCUGAGUUUUAAACCAGGAUUAACCAGCGAGCUACGGCUCCGUUCACUCUCUUUCGUUUCCGGGGAGAUGCUGAGCGUCAUUUAGGAGACUUGCUUGAGCUGCCGCGUCACAGGACGGCUCAGGGACUUUUACUGUGACUAUGCCCGCCAUCCGCCGUCUGCGGUAUGGGUGGGGGCAGAAAAACAGCCAUACGGCCAGCAGACUACGCACGUAGAAGACUGAGGGUACGGUCACCGGACCGGGGUUCAAUUCCCCGCAGCUCCACCA